GAUGAACGCUGACAGAAUGCUUAACACAUCAGCAAUGGAUUGGUGGCGGACGGGUGAGUAACGCGUAAAGAACUUGCCUCCCAGCGAGGGACAACAUUUGGAAACGAAUGCUAAUACCUAAUACUGUGAGAGAGCGUUGCGUGCCAUUAGCUAGUUGGAGAGGUAACGGCUCACCAAGGCGAUGAUGGGUAGCCGGCCUGGGAGGGUGAUCGGGUACAAGGGGACUGAGACACGGGCCGUACGCAUACGUGAGGAAGCAGUGCAGAACAUUUGACACCGGGCCAAAGUAUGAUGCAGCACUUCUGUGUGUAAGAUGAAGCUUUCGGAAGGUAAAGUGCUUGCAGUUGAGACUCGGUACCAACAGAAGAAGCAACGGCUAACUACGUGCCAGCAGCCGCGGUAAUAC
rnacentral:rRNA from 1 species